UCAUGAAUCUUCCGCAAUGGACGAAAGUCUGACGGAGCAAUGCCGCGUGCUAGAUGAAGGCCUUCGGGUCGUAAAUAGCUUUUAUAAGGGACGAACAAAUGACGGUACCUUAUGAAUAAGAGGUUGCUAACUCUGUGCCAGCAGCAGCGGUAAUACAGAGACCUCAAGCGUUAUCCGGAUUUAUUGGGUGUAAAGGGUCCGCAGGCGGCCCGGUAAGUCAUUCGUCAAAUCUUCAGGCUCAACCUGAAGACUGCGAUUGAUACUGCCAGGCUAGAGACUGGGAGAGGCAUAUGGAAUUGCUGGUGUAGCGGUAAAAUGCGUUAAUAUCAGCAAGAACACCAAAGGCGAAGGCAAUAUGCUGGAACAGUUCUGACGCUCAGGGACGAAAGCGUGGGUAGCGAAAGGGAUUAGAUACCCCCGUAGUCC
rnacentral:rRNA from 1 species